GAUGAACGCUGGCGGCGUGCCUAAUACAUGCAAGUCGAGCGAACGGACGAGAAGCUUGCUCCUCUGAUGUUAGCGGCGGACGGGUGAGUAACACGUGGAUAACCUACCUAUAAGACUGGGAUAACUUCGGGAAACCGUAGCUAAUACCGGAUAAUAUUUUGAACCGCAUGGUUCAAAGGUGAAAGACGGUCUUGCUGUCACUUAUAGAUGGAUCCGCGCUGCAUUAGCUAGUUGGUAAGGUAACGGCUUACCAAGGCAACGAUGGAUAGCCGACCUGAGAGGGUGAUCGCCCACACUGGAACUGAGACACAGUCCAGACUCCUACGUGAGGCGCCAGUAGGAAAGCUUCCGCAAAGGGCGAAAACCUAACGGAGCAACGCCGCGUGAGUGCUGACGGUCUUCGGAUCGUAGAACUCUGUUAUUAGGUAAGAACAUAUGUGUAAGUAACUGUGCACAUCUUGACGGUACCUAAUCAGAAAGCCACGGCUAACUACGUG
rnacentral:rRNA from 1 species